AUUGCGCGAUCUCCAGGUCAUCCAACUAGUCAGGAGAAUGAUAGAUUUGAUUCCUUUCUGAAGGGAGGGUUCUACAUUGGAAGAUGUGGCACCGGACCAAGUGUUGAAGGCUUCAUCAGUCGUUGGCAUACAGAUGAGGAUGUUGAGCUAGGCAAACACAUCAUGCUAGAUCUGCUGGGAGAAAGAGCAAUGUGUUAAUAGGUGCGAGAUGGAUUUAGAUUCUUGGUCAAAGAGAAAAGAAGUGUCAUCAUUGUUCAGUCCAUGACGCAUCUUUCAUUAGUCCAGUAAAGAUCCUAAGUUGCUAACCUAGCAAACACCUUGCACUUCAAGGGGGCCCAACAUUCCCAGAUGGAGCUGUUGUGAGGAGAUAUUGUUGGUCUUUCAAACAGCGCAUUAUAAGCAGAUUUAGCAGAGUAAGUACCUGAAGAUCAGAAGUUCCAGGAGGUCAUGCAGAUUGCAUUGGGGUUGCUCAGCUGCUGAUGAAGCAAAAAUAGGCAUGCAUAAACUUUCCAAGGUGAUUUAUCUAGUAUUGUAAUUGUUUAGUAAAUAUUGAAAAGUAUAAUCCAUACCAUUAUUGUCAGGAUUUGCACUUCUGCUGAUGGUAACUUCUCUGCAUCUAGUACCUUCAGGGUAGCCCCGUAUUGUUAUUUUCGAAUCUCCUAAGGGAUGAUGUUGAGAGGUAGUCUCCUUGUGUGAUAGUUCCUGUAUGCACGCAUAAAUUUUAAAUGCUUCUUAUUUACUUGUUGCCUCUCUAAUUACUUUACGAAAUUAUGAUCAUAUAUCCUAUGUAGAAAUUAUUUCGAGAAUUUGAGGGGCUUGAUUUGGCAAAGAUGGUAAGUGUUGCCACUGAAACGGUAUUGCUUAUGAUAUCAUACCUAUGUUUAUUCCAUUUAUUUUCAGAAAAUUUUAACAAGAUACAUUGAACCAAACCUAUAUUAUGUUUACCAUACAAUGUUCACUUUUUUAUGAUUCUGGGCAUGUAAUUUGUAAUAAUAGUCGUAUGAUUGUAAAGAAAGGUCAACAUCUUUCCUUCAAUUAGUUGUGUUAUCACAUCCAUAUUCACUCUAGCAGCACUCAGUUGAGAAUUACUGUUUAUAAUAGCUGCUUAGCCCACAUAGGAUACAACAAUGAACGAUAAUUUGAAUUGUGUUAUUGUUCAGAAUAAAUAGCACUUUUAGUUUCUUGUAUGAUGUGGUUAACUGAAUUUACAGAUUUAUGAUGUUCCUGCUGAAGCUACAGGAACGUCCUCUGGAAUAUUUUAUACAUGAACACUAACCCUUCAUAAGCAAACAAGGACUGCCAGUUCACCUAAACCAAGGGAGAAGUGGAUGCAGUGCACCCUGGUGCAACAGUGGGAGGAAGAGAGAAGUGUAGCCUAAGGAGGCCUGGUGGGUUUUCGAAGAUGAGAUAAAGUAUCUGUUGGAUGAGUGGAACUCCAUCAUGGAUAAAAAAAUGAGUCCUACUUACAGAAAAGGUGAUGAUGAGGAAUCUUUUGUUAAGAAGAGAGCAUGAAAGAGAAAAAGAAGCCAAACUGGCCUAGGAAAGUUUGGAUUUUUCUGGCCAGAUCGAGAUGGAGGUAGCCAGGAGGAAGGGAGCCAUCGCCAUGGGACCCGGCUGGCUGGACAUGUUUCUCUGACUGAUAUUGUCGUGGGUUUGGUACUAGUGAGCUUAUGGUCAAAAGACUGAAGGAAGUCUAGCUCAUGGGUUCUAGUUGAAGUGCCUGACCUGGGAGCAGCUAGCAUUAUAUUAGGUCUUCACCUUGGACCUCUCUAGCUAGACUAGAUAUCAAUCUGCACAGAAUGAACUUGCUAGCAAAAGUGUAUGUUUUGAUUACCCAUUUUGGCGGGGAUUUGCAGUGCUAUCGAUCAGGUUUAACUUUCAUGUACUGUGGUCACUCAACCGUGUAUCUAUGUUUUGCACUAAAAGAUGCGAGUAAAGUUUGAAAUCUUUGGCGA